AUUAAAUAUUUUAAUUAGCAACUUCACUUGAAUAACACAAUUAUAACACAAAAUAACGAAAUACUUUUUCAAAUUGAUCGUAGCACUAUCUGUCGGGGCAAACUAAAAUUGAAAUAGAAUAAUAUGGGUCCGUUCACACAGACCGGCUCGGAGAGCAUCGGCCUGCUUUUUUCUUUUCACACAGACCGGGUCGUAUACGCUUGGAAUUGGCCGGAGCGGAGCCGCCAACUAUUUCACAUCGACCGGCUGGAAGAGAUCUGAAAGCGGGUGCGGUUGGAUCCGAGCCGAUCGGCUGCGCGAGCGAGAAAGAGCACGCAAGCGGAGCCGGUCGGCUCCUUUUAUUACUUCACACGAAGCGCGUUCAGGCAUUUUUAAUGACAAAAAAGGUGCAAAUGCAAAAAUAAACUUUACUACAAUCACUCAAAACACUGUUUCCAACGUGAUAAAAAUCUGCUCUCCUCUCCGAGCCGGUCUGUGUGAACGGACCCUAUUGAAUGCGAUGAUAGCGCCGUCCGCCGGAUCUAAUGUAAAACAUUCCAAAAUCAACAACUCCUUAUAAAUAAGAAAUUAAUUGAAAAAACAUUUUCCAGUAGACCAAACUGUAAAUCUAAACCAUUCUCGAAUCUCCACGAACACACACAAAAAAUUUCAUCAAAA